UACGAAGGGGGCUAGCGUUGCUCGGAAUCACUGGGCGUAAGGCGCACGUAGGCGGCUUUUUAAGUCAGAGGUGAAAUCCUGGAGCUCAACUCCAGAACUGCCUUUGAUACUGGAGAGCUUGAGUCCGGGAGAGGUGAGUGGAACUGCGAGUGUAGAGGUGAAAUUCGUAGAUAUUCGCAAGAACACCAGUGGCGAAGGCGGCUCACUGGCCCGGUACUGACGCCGAGGUGCGAAAGCGUGGGGAGCAAACAGG
rnacentral:rRNA from 1 species